GCUAUGUGGAUUUAAGUUUAUUUAGGGCACAAAUCUGCUCACAUACCUCGUAUUAGCUCCUCUCUCAAAAACCUUACCUCUUGCUCUAUUCUUCUAUAAUGUGAGUUGUUUUGCUUCCAAUCCAAUAAAUUGGGCGUGAAUAUAAGGCUCUUAUGCAAUGGAAACAUAAAAUUAGAGGUUGGAUAAAAAAAAGAAAAAAUUACAAAUUGCAGAAUUUUUUGCUAGUAGAAAUUCUGAAAGUGCUUAGAAAUUCACUCUCUCUCCACCAUUAUUCUUGUUUUUGUUCAGUUUUUUGGAUCUUACUUUAAGAUUAUUCAGUGCAAGUGAUAGAUUCUAACUUUGAAGUUCUUUGUUGGCUAUCUCGACAGUAUUUCUACAAGCUAUGUAUGUUUUUUCCCUUGGAUAUAGACUAUUAAUAUAAUGUAUACUGAAUAUAUUAAAUAUGUACAUCUAACAUACAAUCGAGUACUCAUUCUUAACAUUUGUUUGUACUUAGCUCACUUCUUAACUUUGAUGCUUGUUUUCCUUUAAUUUCUUCUCUAAGCAUUGGAAGUCACAACAUAAACUAGAGAAACAGGAUAUUAUCAUUAAUGAACCUCUUGUGUAGUAUUAGGACUUCUCUCAGUAAUUUUUCUUAUUGAACUUUGUAAUGUGAUUAACUUCGUGAAUCUGAAAUUGUCUGUUGUUCCUUCCGAAAAGAACAAUCAUCUCUUUAAAUAUUCCUUUGGCUAUUCUGAUAGUUAGCAUUCUUCAGUUAGUCUGUUAUAACUUAAACAAAUUAAUUUUCUAAGUACAAUUGAUUAUCUGUGCUUCAAAAUAUUGAAUAGGGAUUGCAGUGCACUAUUGGAACUGAUUGAGGAAUAUUUAUAUUCUUCAAAAGAGCUAAAUGAUGGUUAAAGUUCAUCUAGUUGACUAUUAUGAAUCUCAAAAGGAAAAAGCUGAUCUAAUUGUUGUCAUGUUCUGUUUGUAGUUUGGCCUGUUAUAUUAAUCAUGACUUCUUGUUGUUUUCAGAUUUCAAGUACUAAUACUUAUUUCGCAGAAGAAUUAAAUAAUUUGUCUAUUUAGCUGGGUUGAUUGACAGUGAGCUGCUUUCUUUCUAAAGUUCAAUAGAAAUGAAUUAUGUGGUAAUUUGUGAAGAGCCUAUGAUGAUGUGGAAAGACGAAUACCUAACUAAUGUAGAUAUAAAUAAAUAUAUGAAGAGUUACUGGAAAUUGCUUUUCCUUUUUUUGGUGAAUGAUGGGUGUAUUAUUUGUUGCUCUAAGAAUACUUAGCAAUCUUUUGAGUCGUUCAGAUCUAUAGCCUUAGCUUGCCUUUUGAAUUUCUUCCAUUCUCGUUUGUACCUAAUCUAAAUGAUAGAGUUACAUCGUGUGAUUUGAACUCCAAUUAAGCAUUGUGUGAUUUGAAAUUUUAAAGUCUUCUUUUUAAACUCAACUUGUUCUCCCCUUUAGAAAGCAUUUGAUUGUUUCUAGCUCUUUGUUUUAUUCCUCCUCUGUUCUUGGUUUUUGGUUGUUUUUCUGUUGUAACUUUGCACUGUUAACAUUAUAUAGUAGGAUUUUACCUAAACUUUAUUUUUAGCCACAUUUUAGAGGUUUUUGCUAAGUUAAAAGUCAACUGAUGACAAACUCUAUAUGGCUUUCUUUCAUAAUUAAUACACAGGUGUUUGUUAAGGCUCUUCAAAGUUAUUUCCUGGACAAUAUUCAUUUUGCUGAAAAAUGUACUCAUGUGAGUUGCCACUGGGACUCACACGGGUGGCUCUAUCAAUGUAGGGGAGCAUCGCAAGAGACUUGCUGUUGAAAAGGGUCGAGAUCCAACACCAAAUGAGAUGCAUUUGCACGUCCAUACACAUGGUCAUGAUGGAACAUCUUUUAUUGGUGAGAAAUCCCGAAUCGUACAUGAAAAAUAUCAGGAAAUAUUACAACAAAAAACAUUGACUCAGUGUCAAGCAUAUUAUCAAGCCGCGGGAGGAGAAAAGAAAAGAAGAGUAUAUAGUCUUGGAUCUCAAGCAAAAUGCUAGUAUGGGCAGAAUCUCCGUGAUUCUUUUGGAUUCGAUGCUACAUCUUCAGGAGCACCUCCGAAUGCUCAAUCAACAGCAACAGGAAAUCUGGAUGAGUUUGUGAUGUGUUUGAUUCCCGUAUUGACAGAGCAUAUAGUUCCUCUGAUCGUUGAGCGGGUACGAGGAUUAGUUUCUUCGCGCUCGCAUCAGCCAAAUACUGAUCUUACCAACCACCCAUCAGUUGUGACACCUACAGUUCCUACCUCUCCUACUGCUGCUAACUUUGAUGAGGUUCAUGCAUUGGGUUCUGAUGAUUAAAGAUUGGAAUUCCACUACCCCUAGCAAAGUAACUCGAACCUAGAACUGAUGGAUGUUGUUGAUAUGCCAUAACCCACUACCCAAUUUCAUUAGAAGAUGCAGGAGGACUAAAGGAAUAUUGCUUAGACCAGGAAAUAGUUAGCCUAUUUUGUUUGACUCGUGACACUCCAGCCUCACAAUAGUUAGCCUAUUUUGUUUGGAUUUGGUGGUGUUUGUGGAUGGUUUGUACUUAACGAUACAAUUAUAUGCAUUAUGCUUUAUCUUUUGGACCUUGUUGAAUAUUAAUAUAUAUGAAUAUCGGUUACUUUAA